ACGUUGAAUUCAUAAUAAUAAUAAUUUAACUGCACAAACAGAUACAGCACAUAAGGAAUAAUAAAAGAAGACAAAGAAGAAGACAAAGAACUCCCACAAAGAAGAAGAGUUUAAGAGGAAAGAAGAGGAAGUCCAGGAGACUAGACGCACCUCGAAGUUAGGCAAAAUAUGGAAAGGAUCAUUACAUUUAUUUUUGAUCACCCCUUCAUUGUCGCGGGGGCUGCCAGUGCUGUACUUGGCCUAUUCUAUUUCGUCUGGGGGAGACGCCCCCCUCCCCCACCAGUCCAGCCAACUGUUGAACCCCAAGAAUCAAAUGCGAGUGAACUGGACAACGUACCUCGACUCCAGCGUAUUGGGGUUUUCUAGUGAUUGGAAUCUGGCCUACUACUGGACUACAAAAUUUCAUCGUAUUUGUGUUUGUGUUAUUUCUUAUGAUUGGGACCUGGCCUACUACUGGACUACAAAAUUUCAUCGUAUUUGUG